rnacentral:rRNA from 1 species
AUUGAACGCUGGCGGCAUGCCUUACACAUGCAAGUCGAACGGUAACAGGUUAAGCUGACGAGUGGCGAACGGGUGAGUAAUGUAUCGGAACGUGCCCAGUCGUGGGGGAUAACUGCUCGAAAGAGCAGCUAAUACCGCAUACGACCUGAGGGUGAAAGCGGGGGAUCGCAAGACCUCGCGCGAUUGGAGCGGCCGAUAGCAGAUUAGGUAGUUGGUGAGGUAAAGGCUCACCAAGCCGACGAGCUGUAGCUGGUCUGAGAGGACGACCAGCCACACUGGGACUGAGACACGGCCCAGACUCCUACGGGAGGCAGCAGUGGGGAAUUCUGGACAAUGGGCGCAAGCCUGAUCCAGCCAUGCCGCGUGCGGGAAGAAGGCCUUCGGGUUGUAAACCGCUUUUGUCAGGGAAGAAAAGGUUCUGGCUAAUACCUGGGACUCAUGACGGUACCUGAAGAAUAAGCACCGGCUAACUACGUGCCAGCCGCCGCCGUAACAC